rnacentral:lncRNA from 1 species
GGUCAAGCUGUGGCUCAGCUGUGUUCCACUGUCCCCAACGUGACUGUCUUUGGAACAGCCUCUACUUUCAAGCAUGAAGCAAUCAAAGACUCUGUGACCCACCUCUUUGACAGAAAUGCAGACUACGUGCAAGAAGUUAAAAGAAUCUCUGCUGAAGGUGUGGACAUCGUUUUGGAUUGCCUCUGUGGGGACAACACUGGAAAAGGUCUCAGUCUUCUCAAACCCCUGGGAACCUACAUUUUAUAUGGCUCAUCCAACAUGGUAACUGGAGAGACCAAGAGCUUCUUCAGCUUUGCAAAAUCAAGGCCUGCUCAAACACUGAGGGUCAUUUGGAAGAAAACUGAAGAGAGGGCCUACGAAGAGGUGGAACUUUGCUCUGAAAAGUCCUAGAAAAAAAAUUUUUCAAUGUAUUCAAGAAGGGCUUAGAAAUUAAAGGUCGACUGGAAUUAUACAGGAAUUUCCCACUCAGCUAUCUUAAUGAUGUUGCAUCUUAAAAUCGCUGCAGUUUGUGCCUCACUAUUUGUCAAACAUGCUAUUUUCUUUCACACCAUAACGAUGAUGAUACUAAUAGAAGAAGUUAACAUUUACAGAGCAAUCUGACUCCAAAUUUGGAGC